UUGAAGUCCGACUGAUGCUAUUGAAGGUUGAUGGCUGGGGAGGUAUGACAGAGACCGGAGGCGAUCGACCAUUGUAGAAAUCUAGCUGUUGGAGCUCAUCUGUUGUAGAAGUUCAUCCAGAAUCUAUCCGCUAUAGAAGUUCAGACGAAGUUCAGUUCUUGUAGAAGGCUGAAAGGAGGCCGCUUAUUGUAGAAGCUCAGUCGAAGAUCGGUUAUCGUGGAAGCUCAGAGUAGUGACUUGGCUGGUGGAGCCUGUCCCAUUGUAGAAGCUCGAUCGGCAUUCGUCCACUGUAGGAGCUCGACUGGGAUCCGACUAUGAAGAAGCUCAGCUGAAGUCUGCUUGUAAUAGAAGUUCAGAAGGAAUUCGUUUACAGUAGAGGCUCGGAUGGAAUUCAC
rnacentral:lncRNA from 1 species